rnacentral:piRNA from 1 species
UAGAAGUGUGAACUCAUCAACAAUAUAGGG